GAUGAACGCUGGCGGCGUGCCUAAUACACGCAAGUCGAGCGAAUGGAUUAAGAGCUUGCUCUUAUGAAGUUAGCGGCGGACGGGUGAGUAACACGUGGGUAACCUGCCCAUAAGACUGGGAUAACUCCGGGAAAACGGGGCUAAUACCGGAUAAAAUUUUGAACCGCAUGGUUCGAAAUUGAAAGGCGGCUUCGGCUGUCACUUAUGGAUGGACCCGCGUCGCAUUAGCUAGUUGGUGAGGUAACGGCUCACCAAGGCAACGAUGCGUAGCCGACCUGAGAGGGUGAUCGGCCACACUGGGACUGAGACACGGCCCAGACUCCUACGGGAGGCAGCAGUAGGGAAUCUUCCGCAAUGGACGAAAGUCUGACGGAGCAACGCCGCGUGAGUGAUGAAGGCUUUCGGGUCGUAAAACUCUGUUGUUAGGGAAGAACAAGUGCUAGUUGAAUAAGCUGGCACCUUGACGGUACCUAACCAGAAAGCCACGGCUAACUACGUGCCAGCAGCCGCCGUAA
rnacentral:rRNA from 1 species